CUACGGGUUGCAGCAGUAGGGAAUAUUGGACAAUGGGGGAAACCCUGAUCCAGCAAUGCCGCGUGAGUGAUGAAGGCCUUAGGGUUGUAAAGCUCUUUCGCCCACGACGAUGAUGACGGUAGUGGGAGAAGAAGCCCCGGCUAACUUCGUGCCAGCAGCCGCGGUAAUACGAAGGGGGCUAGCGUUGUUCGGAAUUACUGGGCGUAAAGCGCGCGUAGGCGGCGUAUUAAGUCAGGGGUGAAAGGCCUGGGCUCAACCCAGGAACUGCCUUUGAGACUGGUGCGCUCGAGUUCGGAAGAGGGUAGUGGAAUUCCCAGUGUAGAGGUGAGAUUCGUAGAUAUUGGGAAGAACACCGGUGGCGAAGGCGGCUACCUGGUCCGAUACUGACGCUGAAGUGCGAAAGCGUGGGGAGCAAACAGGAUUAGAUACCCUCGUAGUC
rnacentral:rRNA from 1 species